AGUGGGAUGCCUGAAAAAAGGAUUAUUUUGAUAGAAUAAAUUAUGCAUAAAUUUACGCUUCCAUUG
rnacentral:tRNA from 2 species